AUGAACGCUGGCGGCGUGCCUAAUACAUGCCAGUCGAGCGCACAGACGAGGAGCUUGCUCCUCUGACGUUAGCGGCGGACGGGUGAGUAACACGUGGAUAACCUACCUAUAAGACUGGGAUAACUUCGGGAAACCGGAGCUAAUACCGGAUAAUAUAUUGAACCGCUUGGUUCAAUAGUGAAAGACGGUUUUGCUGUUACUUAUAGAUGGAUCCGCGCCGCAUUAGCUAGUUGGUAAGGUAACGGCUUACCAAGGCGACGAUGCGUAGCCGACCUGAGAGGGUGAUCGGCCACACUGGAACUGAGACACGGUCCAGACUCCUACGGGAGGCAGCAGUAGGGAAUCUUCCGCAAUGGGCGAAAGCUUGACGGAGCAACGCCGCGUGAGUGAUGAAGGUCUUCGGAUCGUAAAACUCUGUUAUUAGGGAAGAACAAAUGUGUAAGUAACUAUGCACGUCUUGACGGUACCUAAUCAGAAAGCCACGGCUAACUACGUG
rnacentral:rRNA from 1 species